AUUGAACGCUGGCGGCGUGCCUAACACAUGCAAGUCGAGCGGUAACAGGUGUAGCAAUACAUGCUGACGAGCGGCGGACGGGUGAGUAACGCUUGGGAAUCUGCCUAUUAGUGGGGGACAACCCGGGGAAACUCGGGCUAAUACCGCAUACGCUCUACGGAGGAAAGCCGGGGACCGCAAGGCCUGGCGCUAAUAGAUGAGCCCAAGUCGGAUUAGCUAGUUGGUAGGGUAAUGGCCUACCAAGGCGACGAUCCGUAACUGGUCUGAGAGGACGACCAGUCACACCGGAACUGAGACACGGUCCGGACUCCUACGGGAGGCAGCAGGUGGGGAAUAUUGGACAAUGGGCGAAAGCCUGAUCCAGCGACGCCGCGUGGGU
rnacentral:rRNA from 1 species